UGGGGAAUUUUGGACAAUGGGGGCAACCCUGAUCCAGCAAUGCCGCGUGUGUGAAGAAGGCCUUCGGGUUGUAAAGCACUUUUGUCCGGAAAGAAAACGCCGUGGUUAAUACCCGUGGCGGAUGACGGUACCGGAAGAAUAAGCACCGGCUAACUACGUGCCAGCAGCCGCGGUAAUACGUAGGGUGCAAGCGUUAAUCGGAAUUACUGGGCGUAAAGCGUGCGCAGGCGGUCCGCUAAGACAGAUGUGAAAUCCCCGGGCUUAACCUGGGAACUGCAUUUGUGACUGGCGGGCUAGAGUAUGGCAGAGGGGGGUAGAAUUCCACGUGUAGCAGUGAAAUGCGUAGAGAUGUGGAGGAAUACCGAUGGCGAAGGCAGCCCCCUGGGCCAAUACUGACGCUCAUGCACGAAAGCGUGGGGGAGCAAACAGGAUUAGAUACCCUGGUAGUCCACGCCCUAAACGAUGUCAACUAGUUGUCGGGUCUUCAUUGACUUGGUAACGAGCUAACGCGUGAAGUUGACCGCCUGGGGAGUACGGUCGCAAGAUUAAAAACUCAAAUGAAUU
rnacentral:rRNA from 1 species